rnacentral:rRNA from 1 species
UAAGGAAUAUUGCGCAAUGGGCGAAAGCCUGACCCAGCAACGCCGCGUGAAGGAUGAAGUAUUUCGGUAUGUAAACUUCGAAAGAAUAGGAAGAAUAAAUGACGGUACUAUUUAUAAGGUCCGGCUAACUACGUGCCAGCAGCCGCGGUAAUACGUAGGGACCAAGCGUUGUUCGGAUUUACUGGGCGUAAAGGGCGCGUAGGCGGCAAUUCAAGUCAUCUGUGAAAUCUCCGGGCUUAACUCGGAACGGUCAGAUGAUACUGCUUUGCUAGAGUGCAGAAGGGGCAAUCGGAAUUCUUGGUGUAGCGGUGAAAUGCGUAGAUAUCAAGAGGAACACCUGAGGUGAAGACGGGUUGCUGGGCUGACACUGACGCUGAGGCGCGAAAGCCAGGGGGGCAAACGGGAUUAGAUACCCACGUAGUCCCUGAGCGGGCUGGCAAGGCGCAU